GAUGAACGCUGGCGGCGUGCCUAAUACAUGCAAGUCGAGCGAACAGACGAGGAGCUUGCUCCUUUGACGUUAGCGGCGGACGGGUGAGUAACACGUGGGUAACCUACCUAUAAGACUGGGAUAACUUCGAGAAACCGGAGCUAAUACCGGAUAAUAUUUCGAACCGCAUGGUUCGAUAGUGAAAGAUGGCUCUGCUAUCACUUAUAGAUGGACCUGCGCCGUAUUAGCUAGUUGGUAAGGUAACGGCUUACCAAGGCAACGAUACGUAGCCGACCUGAGAGGGUGAUCGGCCACACUGGAACUGAGACACGGUCCAGACUCCUACGGGAGGCAGCAGUAGGGAAUCUUCCGCAAUGGGCGAAAGCCUGACGGAGCAACGCCGCGUGAGUGAUGAAGGUCUUCGGAUCGUAAAACUCUGUUAUUAGGGAAGAACAAACGUGUAAGUAACUGUGCACGUCUUGACGGUACCUAAUCAGAAAGCCACGGCUAACUACGUG
rnacentral:rRNA from 1 species